CCUACGGGAGGCAGCAGUGGGGAAUCUUAGACAAUGGGCGCAAGCCUGAUCUAGCCAUGCCGCGUGGACGAUGAAGGCCUUAGGGUUGUAAAGUCCUUUCAGCUGGGAAGAUAAUGACGGUACCAGCAGAAGAAGCCCCGGCUAACUCCGUGCCAGCAGCCGCGGUAAU
rnacentral:rRNA from 1 species